UUGUCUUUGUGCGAGCUUCUGCAGGUCCCUUUCAGCCUUGAAGAUCCAUAUUACAAGGGGCUUGAGCUGGAUGUGAUGUCUCCAUGUGAGAAGCACGGCAUGGCAUCUGAGAGGCUUGUUGCCUUUGAAGGAACAGACACAGGCAGGCGGUUUUUAGCAUGUGCACAGCCGGCAGGUAGCAAUUGUGGCUUUGUUGAAUGGGUUGAUCACCAGUGGCCCCCAACAAUGCAGAAUGCAUUGUUGAAGCUAUGGGCAAUGGUUGAAGAUGCCAAAACUGCUAGGGUGAAUGACAAUCUUGAAAGUUUUUUCACUAUCCACCAUCUGACAGAAGAGAAGAACAAGCUGGAUGCCAACUAUGACAAGCUAGUCCAAGAUGUGCAUGAGCUGAUGAACUUCCAGGAAGAUAAGGUGGUGGAUUUCAGACAUCUGCAGUCUGCCAUUACAUAUCAGCAGGAGGUAAGAAAAGAACUGAUUGAUGAUAUGAAGGCACAGAUGGCAAGUGAGAUGGCAAAGAAAGAUGAAGAGACCCAGAAACUUACUCUGAAGUAUGAGCUGCUGCUCAACCUGACAAGAGCUCAAGCAAUAGUCAUUCAAAACUUGAAGUUGAACAAAAUGAAAGAGAAGCAAGUGCUUACUGAAGCUAGUAUGAAUUUGGAGCUGAAGAAUGCAGAGCUAACAAAAUGUCAGGAGAAGCUCACCCAAGAGAAGCUAGAGUUGAAGCUUCAGGUUGCUGAUCUGCUUAAGGGAAAUGAAAAGCAUAUUGAAGAGAAGUGGCAGUUAGAGUUUCAGAAUGAAAAGUUGAAGGAGAAGUUCAGGGGGAUUCAGGCCAUCUUGGAGAAGUGA
rnacentral:rRNA from 1 species